rnacentral:rRNA from 1 species
CCCUUAGAUGUUCUGGGCCGCACGCGUGCUACACUGAGUGGAUCAGCGGGUCAGGUUGCGCGAAAGUGUUUCCUAAUCUCUAAAUCCGCUCGUGAUGGGGAUUGACGGUUGCAAUUUUCCGUCAUGAACGAGGAAUACCUUGUAAGCGCGGGUCAUCAUCCCGCGCUGAAUACGUCCCUGCCCUUUGUACACACCGCCCGUCGCUCCUACCGAUUGAGUGGUCCGGUGAGGCUUUGGGAUCUGAGCGGAAAGAGCGUUUCGCUGUUUCUGCCCGGAAAACUCAGUCGAACCUUAUCAUUUAGAGGAAGGAGAAGUCGUAACA